GACGAACGCUGGCGGCGUGCCUAAUACAUGCAAGUUGAGCGCUGAAGGUUGGUACUUGUUCCUAUUGGAUGAGCAGCGAACGGGUGAGUAACGCGUGGGGAAUCUGCCUUUGAGCGGGGGACAACAUCUGGAAACGAAUGCUAAUACCGCAUAAUAUCUUUAAACACAAGUUUCAAGAUUGAAAGAUGCAAUUGCUUUCCCUAAUGAAGAUCUCGGGUUGUAUUUGCCAGUUGGUUAAGUAAAGGCCCAACAAGGCGAUGGUACAUAGCCGACCUUGGAGGGUGAUCGGCCACAUUGGGACUGAGGCACGGCCCAAACUCCUACGGGAGGCAGCAGUAGGGGAUCUUCGGCAAAGGACGAAAGUCUGACCGGGCAACGCCGCGGGAGUGGAGGAGGGUUUCGGAUCGGAAAAAUCUGUUGGUAGGGAAGAACGAUGGGGGGAAUGGAAAGCGCAUCAAGUGACGGUAACUAACCAGAAAGGGACGGCUAACUACGUG
rnacentral:rRNA from 1 species